GGAAUGUAUGAUAUGUUGUUUUUUUUUUAAAGAGAUAAAUAGCACGUUACCCGCUUCGUUUAUUUUAUUUAGAAUUAAACUUAGCUGGAAAUGUGAAUCAACUAGGAUUCGUACUUGGGUCUCGGAUAUCAACUACUAAACCCUUUGCCACUUGCUUUAGAGACGGUUGGUGAUAUAUUGUUGAUUUUGUCAAAUAAUUAGGAAGUUG
rnacentral:lncRNA from 1 species